UAUUUACUUCAGUGUGUUUUGUAUUGUGGUUAGAUUUGUGUAUUGCUAUUUUCGACGGUUUUUGGCUAAAUGGAGCAGUUUAAUAUUAUACAUGUAAAAUGCAUAAUAAAUACUAUUUUAUUAAAGAAAUGUGUUUUUAGACAAAAGCAAAGCAGGUGCGGUCCAACCCAACAAGAAAAUCGCUGCUAGAAGAAGACAAAUCAUUGGUUGAAUUCGUAACCCAAAACAGGGAUUUUGAGAAGAUAACGUCUUAAAUAGAAAUGGUGGACUGGAAGGUGACACGCUCGAAGCUUCGGUAUAUGCGUACAACAUAUACAGAAAUGUUGGAUGGCUUACCAGGUGAAGGGAGUAUGGAAACCGAAACCAUAAAAUCUAAGAUUAUGAUUUGUCAUUUAAACUAGAAUUUCAUUGUUUCUGCAUGCGUAUAGAAGUAAAGAAAAUAAAAAGUAUUGAGGAGAUUGUAAA